rnacentral:rRNA from 1 species
UACGAAGGGGGCUAGCGUUGUUCGGAUUUACUGGGCGUAAAGCGCACGUAGGCGGAUCGUUAAGUCGGGGGUGAAAUCCUGGAGCUCAACUCCAGAACUGCCUUCGAUACUGGCGAUCUUGAGUCCGGAAGAGGUGAGUGGAACUCCUAGUGUAGAGGUGGAAUUCGUAGAUAUUAGGAAGAACACCAGUGGCGAAGGCGGCUCACUGGUCCGGUACUGACGCUGAGGUACGAAAGCGUGGGGAGCAAACAGG